GCCUGGGUGGCCCAGUCGGUUGAGCGUCCGACUCCGGCUCGGGUCACGAUCUCACGGGUCGCGGGUUCGAGCCCUGCGUCGGGCU
rfam:Felis catus isolate Cinnamon breed Abyssinian chromosome F1, whole genome shotgun sequence.